CGAACGCUGGCGGCAGGCCUAACACAUGCAAGUCGAGCGCGCCUUCGGGUGAGCGGCGGACGGGUUAGUAACGCGUGGGAACGUGCCCUUCUCUACGGAAUAGCCUCUGGAAACGGAGAGUAAUACCGCAUACGCCCUAUCGGGGGAAAGAUGGCCUCUUCUUGAAAGCUAUCGCUAUUUGGAGGAGCCUGCGUUGGAUUAGCUAGUUGGUGGGGUAAAGGCCUACCAAGGCGACGAUCCAUAGCUGGUCUGAGAGGACGAUCAGCCACACUGGGACUGAGACACGGCCCAGACUCCUACGGGAGGCAGCAGUGGGGAAUCUUAGACAAUGGGCGCAAGCCUGAUCUAGCCAUGCCGCGUGAGUGAUGAAGGCCUUAGGGUCGUAAAGCUCUUUCGCCUGUGAUGAUAAUGACAGUAGCAGGUAAAGAAACCCCGGCUAACUCCGUG
rnacentral:rRNA from 1 species